UUGUGUGGCUCUGCUGUGGGAGACAAGAGAAGGGAGAAAAGACGGGGGUGAAACACUCCGCAUCUGCCGUUCCCACGGUGGUCGUCCUCGUCGUCCAACCCUGCGCGCCCGACGAGGACCGCGGCAUCCGCACCUUCACCAAGCAGUCCGCGGCGGACAAGCGCCCCAGCUAUGGGCACCGCCCACGAGCUCUGCGCCGGACGGUCCGGUCAAGGAGCUUUGCAAGCAAAGAUACAAAUUCUGACCAGUUGGAGUUGAACAACAAUAAUCAACAACAUGACUCAGGGAAUGACAGCAUGACUGACCAGCAGGAGCAAACAUCUCGUGGCAUUUGUUCACAAGCUACGUAAACUAUAGUUGAUUUGACAGAAAGUGAUGCAUCAGACGGCAUGUUGCUUGAUGGCUUGAGAACAAUCGUAAUUGCAGAAAAGACAAGAGAGGAAGCAGGAAAUGAGUGUUUUAAAAGAGCAAAGGGACAAGGUACUCGUUGACAAAGAAAACUACUUCAAUAUGUUUUUCUACUAACGAGGCCCAGGUCUGUGUACACAUGUGGCCUUUUCCUUCUCAAACAAACAAGAACAAACAAACAAAAAGCCCAACAAAAACAAGGGCAGGUUGCGGGGGUUGUUGGGCUGGAAGGGAUGGGCUGCCCACACAACAAACAAACUGGUCGACACGAGGUGAUCGGGGAGCAACCACGCGUAUUGUUUGUCAACAAGUGGGGACAGAUUAGAUGUAACAUAGACAUACCCUUUUUUUAAUUCAUCAAUAAUUCUUGGACUUUUCUAAAUCCAUGGAAUAUCUUAAAUUUUAUUUAAAAAAAUUCGUGAACAUUUUAAUAAUCCAUGAACAUUUUUUGAAUGUACAUUUAUUUUUUAGUUCUGGUGAAAAUACCACUAGUCGAUAUUGUUCAUUGAACAACAAUUUUUUCUUCA